CCGACGGUGAGGGACGAAAGCUGGGGGAGCAAACCGGAUUAGAUACCCGGGUAGUCCCAGCCGUAAACGAUGUGCGUUAGGUGUAUCGGUGACCACGAGUCACCGAGGUGCCGAAGAGAAAUCGUGAAACGUACCGCCUGGGAAGUACGGUCGCAAGGCUGAAACUUAAAGGAAUUGGCGGGGGAGCACCACAACAGGUGGAGCCUGCGGUUUAAUCGGACUCAACGCCGGAAAACUCACCAGAUAA
rnacentral:rRNA from 1 species